rnacentral:rRNA from 1 species
CCAUACGACCAUAGAUACUUGAAAACUUGGCAUCCCGUUCGCUCUGCCCUAAAUAAGCCAGUGAUCGCUGGAUCAGUACUCAGGUGGAUGACCACUGAGGAAUCCCCGGUGUUGUAUGUU